rnacentral:rRNA from 1 species
ACAUCCAGAGAACUUAGCAGAGAUGCUUUGGUGCCUUCGGGAACUCUGAGACAGGUGCUGCAUGGCUGUCGUCAGCUCGUGUUGUGAAAUGUUGGGUUAAGUCCCGNAACGAGCGCAACCCUUAUCCUUUGUUGCCAGCGAUUCGGUCGGGAACUCAAAGGAGACUGCCGGUGAUAAACCGGAGGAAGGUGGGGAUGACGUCAAGUCAUCAUGGCCCUUACGGCCAGGGCUACACACGUGCUACAAUGGCGCAUACAAAGAGAAGCGACCUCGCGAGAGCAAGCGGACCUCAUAAAGUGCGUCGUAGUCCGGAUUGGAGUCUGCAACUCGACUCCAUGAAGUCGGAAUCGCUAGUAAUCGUAGAUCAGAAUGCUACGGUGAAUACGUUCCCGGGCCUUGUACACACCGCCCGUCACACCAUGGGAGUGGGUUGCAAAAGAAGUAGGUAGCUUAACCUUCGGGAGGGCGCUUACCACUUUGUGAUUCAUGACUGGGGUGAAGUCGUAACAAGGUAGGCGUAGACGU